AAUCCCAACACCAUAUUGGAGGGCAUUUCUAAGUCCACAACUAAGAAGAUGCUCCAUUGCGUACGAUUAUUUCAUGUGGUCCCUAUGGAGAUAGAGAAAUCAGAGUACCCCUUCGGUUGAUAUAUUCUUCCUUCUAGGGGCAUCACCACCGGCCCAAUUCUUGCGGGUCGAAUUCCCAUCCUUCAGAGUGUCUCCGUGGCUAUCAAGUUGUACUUGCUACAAACCGCUGGUAAUACCCUUCGCAAGUCUGUGUUUCCAAU
rnacentral:lncRNA from 1 species